GUAGGUGGCAAGCGUUGUCCGGAAUUAUUGGGCGUAAAGCGCGCGCAGGUGGUUCUUUAAGUCUGAUGUGAAAGCCCCCGGCUCAACCGGGGAGGGUCAUUGGAAACUGGGGAACUUGAGUGCAGGAGAGGAAAGUGGAAUUCCACGUGUAGCGGUGAAAUGCGUAGAUAUGUGGAGGAACACCAGUGGCGAAGGCGACUUUCUGGCCUGUAACUGACACUGAGGCGCGAAAGCGUGGGGAGCAAACAGGAUUAGAUACCCUGGUAGUCCACGCCGCAAACGAUGAGUGCUAAGUGUUGGGGGGGUUUCCCGCCCCUCAGUGCUGCAGCUAACGCAUUAAGCACUCCGCCUGGGGAGUACGGUCGCAAGACUG
rnacentral:rRNA from 1 species